rnacentral:lncRNA from 1 species
CAAUAUUAAACUUUUUUUUAUCUAUGGGCCCAGUUAUCAAAUUGGUCCACAUUGAGGUCAAAAGGGUCCAAAAUUAAAGUUUGUUUGAUUUCAUCAAAAAUUUAAUUCUUUGGGUUCUUUGAUAUGCUGAAUCUAACGAUGUAUUUAGAUUUUGGAUAUUGGACCAUAAAAGGUAAAUGUCCAAUUUAAAAAAUUCAUUCAUUCUGUGUUAGAAACCUAUGCUGUAUCAAGCUUGAAUGUUGUGUCCAUACUUACCCCAACUGUUUAGGGUUUGGCGUCUGCAGUCGUAUCAAGCUGUGCCCGACAGAGCAUUUUAUUACUAAGUGUAUUUGUACAUUAUCAGUAUGAUUGACAACUGUCAUCAAGGAACAAUUAAAACAGAGUGACUUAAUAAUUGGAAUUCUAAAUAGACCCCUCCUCCUUAAUGCCAAUCAUAAUUCUCCAGACCACAUGACUAUUGGGCUUAUACAUAACAAGGCAGACUACUCAAUACAGGAACUUUGACCUUAUUAGUAUCAGACAAAUCUGACCUAUAUUUGUUGUUGAAGGCAGCC